rnacentral:sRNA from 12 species
CGAGGGUUGGAAUCACGAUGUUGUGGCCCCCGCUAGCGUUUUAUCCGGUCAUCACGGGGAUCCUCGCAGACCGGACGGUAUAGCUGCAUCAGUUCUAAAGUAGGCCGCUGGGGGUUACUCACCACUGCCCCGGUGCUCCGAAUUUCAUGAGAGCUGAUGCACUACACGCCGCGAGGGGGUGGGUCGUGUUGGACGGCCUAGAAAGUGUAGACGCCG